rnacentral:rRNA from 1 species
UGGGGAAUUUUCCGCAAUGGGCGAAAGCCUGACGGAGCAACGCCGCGUGGGGGAGGAAGGCUUUUGGGUUGUAAACCCCUUUUCUCAGGGAAGAAGCCCUGACGGUACCUGAGGAAUCAGCAUCGGCUAACUCCGUGCCAGCAGCCGCGGUAAGACGGAGGGCGCUAGCGUUGUUCGGAAUCACUGGGCGUAAAGGGCGCGUAGGCGGCUGUUUAAGUCGAGGGUGAAAGCCCGGGGCUCAACCCCGGAACGGCCUUCGAGACUGGGCAGCUCGAGACCGGAAGAGGAGGGUGGAAUACCCAGUGUAGAGGUGAAAUUCGUAGAUAUUGGGUGGAACACCAGUGGCGAAAGCGGCUCUCUGGUCCGGAUCUGACGCUGAGGCGCGAAAGCGUGGGGAGCAAACAGGAUUAGAUACCCCCGUAGUCC